rnacentral:rRNA from 1 species
UACGUAGGGUGCGAGCGUUAAUCGGAAUUACUGGGCGUAAAGCGUGCGCAGGCGGUUUUGUAAGCCAGAUGUGAAAUCCCCGGGCUUAACCUGGGAAUGGCAUUUGGGACUGCAAGGCUUGAGUGCGGCAGAGGAGACUGGAAUUCCCGGUGUAGCAGUGAAAUGCGUAGGUAUCGGGAGGAAUACCGAUGGCGAAGGCAGGUCUCUGGGCUGACACUGACGCUCAUGCACGAAAGCGUGGGGAGCAAACAGG